GAAAUGCAGAUGUGAAUCCUAACAGGUAGUGGGCACCCGGUCACUAGGCUACUAGCCCAAUAGCAAUGGCUGAGUAAUAUGAUGUCAGACACGUGUAAGUAAUUUUCCACCAAAAAGCAACGGGCUUGAAGAUCAAUGCCAAGAAAAACAAGAUGGCAAAAGGGAUACAUUAAGAAACCAAAAGCAUGUUCAAUUAUUAGUGGUAACUUGUUGGUUUUGGAUUAUAAGCGAAUUGCCCAAUGCUGGCCUCAUGUCUGAAUAUGAUGAUGUAAUAACCUUGUGAAAG
rnacentral:misc_RNA from 1 species